rnacentral:rRNA from 1 species
UACGGAGGGUGCGAGCGUUAAUCGGAAUUACUGGGCGUAAAGCGCACGUAGGCGGUUUGAUAAGUCGGAUGUGAAAGCCCUGGGCUUAACCUGGGAACUGCAUUCGAUACUGUCUGACUAGAGUAUGGGAGAGGGAAGCGGAAUUUCCGGUGUAGCGGUGAAAUGCGUAGAUAUCGGAAGGAACACCAAUGGCGAAGGCAGCUUCCUGGCCCAAUACUGACGCUCAGGUGCGAAAGCGUGGGGAUCAAACAGG